rnacentral:rRNA from 1 species
GGCAGCAGUGGGAAUAUUGCACAAUGGGCGCAAGCCUGAUGCAGCCAUGCCGCGUGUAUGAAGAAGGCCUUCGGGUUGUAAAGUACUUUCAGCAGUGAGGAAGGUGGAUAUGUUAAUAGCAUAUUCAUUUGACGUUAGCUGCAGAAGAAGCACCGGCUAACUCCGUGCCAGCAGCCGCGGUAAUACGGAGGGUGCGAGCGUUAAUCGGAAUUACUGGGCGUAAAGCGCAUGCAGGUGGUUUGUUAAGUCAGAUGUGAAAGCCCGGGGCUCAACCUCGGAAUUGCAUUUGAAACUGGCAAACUAGAGUACUGUAGAGGGGGUAGAAUUUCAGGUGUAGCGGUGAAAUGCGUAGAGAUCUGAAGGAAUACCGGUGGCGAAGGCGGCCCCCUGGACAGAUACUGACACUCAGAUGCGAAAGCGUGGGGAGCAAACAGGAUUAGAUACCCUGGUCG